CCCUUAGAUGUUCUGGGCCGCACGCGUGCUACACUGAGUAAUUCAAUGGGUAAGGGAACGCUAGAGCAUUACCUAAUCUUGAAAUUUGCUCGUGAUGGGGAUCGACGGUUGCAAUUUUCCGUCGUGAACGAGGAAUACCUUGUAGGCGCAUGUCAUCAUCAUGCGCCGAAUACGUCCCUGCCCUUUGUACACACCGCCCGUCGCUGCAACUGAUUGGGUGACCUGGUGAACAUCUUGGACCGGUCCACUCAAUUUCGAGAGGACUGGAAAAGGCCGUAAAUCAGGUACAUCUAGAAAUUGCAAAAGUCGUAACA
rnacentral:rRNA from 1 species